UGGGGAAUAUUGCACAAUGGGCGCAAGCCUGAUGCAGCCAUGCCGCGUGUGUGAAGAAGGCCUUCGGGUUGUAAAGCACUUUCAGCGGGGAGGAAGGCGGUGAGGUUAAUAACCUCACCGAUUGACGUUACCCGCAGAAGAAGCACCGGCUAACUCCGUGCCAGCGGCCGCGGUAAUACGGAGGGUGCAAGCGUUAAUCGGAAUUACUGGGCGUAAAGCGCACGCAGGCGGUCUGUCAAGUCGGAUGUGAAAUCCCCGGGCUCAACCUGGGAACUGCAUUCGAAACUGGCAGGCUAGAGUCUUGUAGAGGGGGGUAGAAUUCCAGGUGUAGCGGUGAAAUGCGUAGAGAUCUGGAGGAAUACCGGUGGCGAAGGCGGCCCCCUGGACAAAGACUGACGCUCAGGUGCGAAAGCGUGGGGAGCAAACAGGAUUAGAUACCCUGGUAGUCCACGCUGUAAACGAUGUCGAUUUGGAGGUUGUGCCCUUGAGGCGUGGCUUCCGGAGCUAACGCGUUAAAUCGACCGCCUGGGGAGUACGGCCGCAAGGUUA
rnacentral:rRNA from 1 species